UGUGAGUUGGACUGGCAGAAUGUCUAUUACAGAUCCUAAUUGAAGUAGCGAUUAUCCAGGCUUGUAUCCUGGGGGCUGAUGAGGAGUAGGGUUUCUGGACAACUUAAACAGAUCCAGAGUUAGUCGAUCCUAAUCUCAAUAAUGGGAGAAAGGGAGUACAGUUGAUAUUCUGUAACUGACAACAGUUCGCGGCAACGCAUACUAUUUUUCUCCGCCAAUCUUAUACCGUUGGUAGGGAUCUCUUUCCUACAUGACAGUACUAAUACCCAGGGAAACUGGUCAUCAGGCGAACUGCGGCGUUCUGCUGGCAAAACAUAGCUUCGGUUAUGUCAAUGGCUAUUGGAUUGGUCCAUGAAGCGAAAAAUAGUUUACUGUGUCACUCGUACCGAUAACCGCAUCAGGUCUUCUAGGUAAGUAGCCUAUGGCCAUUGAGGCAUGAUAGUUCAGGGAAUUCGGCCAAUUAGAGCUGUAACUUCGGGAUAAAGCUUGGCUCUGAUGAAAAUCAGAACCGAUUGUUACGCGGAGAGCCCAACUGUUUAAUAAAAACGUAGUGUCGCGCUGUGGUAGUAUAGCCAGUGAACGCGACAUGAAUCCUGCUCAGUGCUGUGUCUGUUAAUAUGGUUCAAGCCAACGAAGCACCGGUAAAUAGCUGGGGUAACUAUGACUCUUAUCAAAGUAGCGAAAUACCUCGUCACUUAAUUAGUGACCUGCAUGAACGGAGCUAUGAGGUUCUCACUGUCCCAAACUGUCUCUCAGCGAACCAACUGUAGUGGGAACGGUCACUAGAUAUCCAGCGGGGAAAGAAGACCCUGUAGAGCUUCACUUUGGUCUAGUCUUGUAUAGUUCCUGCGGGGGUGUAGACUAGGUGGGAG
rnacentral:ncRNA from 1 species